CAGCAAUAUCAUAUCUUCUCCACUCUGAUUCCCUAAAACUUGAGAACUACACAACCAAUUUCAUUCAAAUUUUACACAUGCCUUACUUAGGGUCCAUGUAGUUUCAUGAGCAAAAAAAUGUUCAACUUCUUGUCUAGGGCGAGCCCAUAGCAAUAUCAUAUCUUCUCCACUAUUUCAGUAUUACGUGUUAAAAGUGAAACAAAAACAUUUCUCUAUUUUAUAUCAGAUACUUUCACUUUAACAAUAAAAAUUAGAGAUAAUAAUAACAAUUGAAUUAUAUGUAGUAAGUAAUAAUUAAAGUCAAACUAAAUUAAAUCGUAACAUAACAAUUAAAAGUAAAAAUAGCAAUUGGUAUAAAAUUGCAUCAAUGACUCGAACUUGAAUAAGUGGUUUCACAUGAAUGGGAAUAAAUUGAAAAUAAAAUUAGUGUGCAGAAAUGGAAUAGUCCAGAUGGAGCUGUGCACAUACCUUUUACCACGGCUUUUACAUUAGAUUAUCUGCUAAUUAGCUAGCAUUAAGUAUCUAUAUGAAGUUUGGCUGUAUGUAAUGUCUGUUUUCUCGAACAGCCGCUUCUACUGAGUACUGCUGUUGGUUUAUUUAUCAUACAUAAAAGACUAUAGCUUCAACUGCGUACUGCUUUUUGAUUCACCGUAAGGUUUGUUGUUAUUAUUAUUACUGUUUAACUAUUGUUAUCACGUUUGUUGAUUCCUCGUAAGGGAAACGUUGUUGUGUUGCAUUUGUUAAAUAAUUGUAAACUGUAACCCUCCCCCUUUAGGAGAAGGAGCUUUGGCUAUUGUUUAAAAAUUGAAUUGUGUCCCUGUUUGGGGAAAUCGACAAUAUUUUCACCGUUUAUACAGAAGCAUUUUUGUUAAAAUACCUUCGAAAGUCCAAAAAUGAAUUUCGCUGCAGCCGUCGGCGGGCGCGAACUCAUUAAAAUUAAAAUGGAAGAAAUACAAACCUAUUUCGGAUUGAUCACCAACAAAGACGAUGAAUCUAGGAUAACACCACCAAACGAAAUAAAAACUAUAAUUAAAGAAAAGACUAUUGUCUAUAAAGUAUACAAUGUAGAGAAAAAAAAAAAGAUUUGAACACCUGGAGGAAAGCACCAUCGAAAAGUGUCUUGGUGCGACUAUGAAAGAUAUCUAACCAGAGGCGGUAAAUUCGCCACAAUAGAAGCAAGGUUCGAGUCAAUAGAAGCAAGGUUCGACUCGAACCUGGCAAAGUGGAAAUAUUUUAUUUUUAUCUUUAUAUCUGGGACGUAGGACGUCCCGGAUAAAAAUUUAAAGUGCCCCCCCCCCCCAGAAGUAGAGGUAGGCUGGAUUGUAGCUACUCUUCUAUACAAGAGGGAGGACAAGAUACAAUUGAUCGAAAUUGCAAGAGACGGGCCUACAAUUCCAGCCUGUUAUAUAUUUUGAGUAUUGUUAUCACUAGCGAUAUCAAGAUAUAACUUUGUAUUUUGUAUUUUAUGUGUAGAUGUAUAUAUAUAGAUGCACAUGUAAUAUGUACACAUAUAUAUACACAUAUAUACAUGCACUAACACUAAUGCUAGUAUAUAUAUAUAUAUAUGAGGAUGACUUUCGUCCCAAAGAACACGAUGGCUAUUCACCAAAGAGAAAGCGUCAACUAGAAGGAAAGUACCAAUAAAUAGACCGUGCUCUCUCGAUUGGUUUCAAUUUAUUCGCUCGAGAAACGUCCCCGUCAACGGCUCGAUCCUAAUGCACAAAGCUAACACUAUUUGUGAAGCAACUGGACACGAUUUUAAGGCAUCCGAAGGUUGGUUUUACCAUUGGCAAAAAUGAUAUGGAAUAUUUUUUACACGUCUAAAAGGUAAGCUUGUGGUUCACUAGUUCACAUUUUUCUCUUUAGAGAACAUAAACUAAACAUUUCAUACAUUACAGGUGAUGCAGCUGAGGCUGACGUUGAUGGAAACCAUCAAUUUCGUGAGACAACCAUGCAGCUUCUGUUGAAAUCAUAUCAGCCACAGAACAUUUAGAAAGCCGAUGAAACUGGGAUCUACUUUCGUGCAUCACCAGGGAAUACAAAUGUCAACGAGAGUUACAAGUAAACUGUGAGGGGCUUUAAGACGGCAAAGGACCGUGAGACCUUCAUGGUAGCCUGCAACAUGAAUGGAGACAAAAUAAGAGUUGCUCUUAAUCGGAAAGAUGCUUCAAAAAUGUCAAAACGCUUCCGAUUCAGUACAACUUUUCAACCAAUGCUUGGAUGACAGAAAAAAUCUAUGGAAGAUGGCUCAGAUCUUGGGAUCGUCGUUUGCAGGAAUCUGGAUGAUAAGUGGUGGUCCUACUUGACAAUUGCUUUUCUCAUGUAGUCAUCGAUGAUCUCAAGAAUAUCACUUUAAAAUUUCUUCCUGCUAACAACGUCGGUGCUGCAGCCCUGUGACAUUGGGAUAAUCAAGACCUUAAAAGCCUUCUUCAGACAUGAAAUGCGCGAGAUCAAUGAUGUUAUGGAAGACACUGAACGUGACAAUUUUACUCAAGAAUUUGCAAAGCGGAUCACCAUUUUGCAUGCCAUAUACAUGUUAAGCGUAGCUUGGAAGAAGUUCUCUAGCCAGACAAUCAAACAUUAUUGGACCAAACCUGGUUUUGUUUCGGCCGAAUAAUCAAAUGAAGCCAUAAAUGUUAACAAAGAUUUGAUCCUGCCUUAACCGCCUACUGGAAUGACCAAAAUCCAGUUCGAGAACUGGUUGUCUGUGGAUGAUAGUGCUGUUUUUGCUCCAGAGAGCAUCAUUGGAGAAGAAAAACUAGACGAGAUGAUUCAUGACAUUCGGCAACCUGUGAAAGAAAUCGAAGGAGAUGAAGAUGGUGAUUCCGACGUUGAUGUUGAUGAAAGAGUUCUGGAGCCUGAAAUGAAACACUAUUCCACUCGAUUAGAAAGUGGCCUUGAAAGUUUGGAUUUUAGCGGCAUGAAUCUUUUUAGAACUCUUAAGGAAAAAAAUCAAUGCAGAGUUGCGAACAAAGCGUCCAGCAAAGCAAACAACACUCGACAAAUUUUUCAUUCAAUGACAAUGUUUAUAAUGUUUUUAUUCGUUUAUUCGCAUAUCUAGGUAUUUUAAUAAAUACCGUAAAUCGUCGAGUAUAAUCCGCAUUUUUCUCCCUAAAAUUUAAAGGUCAAAAUCCCUAGCGUGUAUUAUAUAUGAGGUUAAAAAUGAAAAUCAUUUUCUAAGCAAUGUCCGGGUCUCUAUUCGCUGUCCGGCAAUGUUUAAUCAGACGCAUUUUGUUAUGUCGGGCGCGAAAAUACCUUAAGCUAAGCCUGAAAGCAAUGAAGUCAUAAAAGAAUCAUCCAUAAGAUGCAGUAAGCAACAUUUAUCAAACAUUAUUACUGUUAUUUCUUUAUUUUCUGCAAACAAAAUGCACAAAAAAGCUACACGUUUACAUUAUGUUAUAUAUACAAUAAUAAUAAAGGACGUUACCGUAUACAUUUUUACAAAACAAGGACGGUAUAUAGACCUCCUUGACUCAAGUUAGAGAAGGUAUUAUACACAAGGUUUAGGUUCUUCAGAGGUACAGCAUCCUAAAAAUCCCCUGCGUAUUAUACUCCAGGGUGGACUAUACUCGAGGAUUUACGGUACUCAUAUUUAAUCAAUUGGCAAAUUUUGUUCCCUCGGUUAAUAAAUCCAAAAUAGGCGGUUCAAAGAUGGAUUUAUAAAGCGGGGUCUACUGUAUAUAUAUAUACGCCCGUGUGCAUCAGUAUAACGGCUAUAAAGAUCGGUGCGUGAAAGAAGGAGCGUGAAUGCUUUGCUAAUCAUGUCCCCUGAGAUAUUUGUUUUGUAGCACCUUACAGGUAAUUCACUGUCACCAUCACCGUUAGAAAUACAGUGAACCAGUUAUUGCACUGUCACCAAUGACACGAUACUGGUGUUCGGAAAUUGUUAUAUCAAACAAGUAAAAUAUUUCAAGAUAUUGGUGUUAAUAUAACACGAACGUAUUCACAGCCUCCUAAAACAAUUGCGCAAAUGUAGUCGAUGUGAAUAAAUAUUUUUCGUUGUUUAUCUUUUCUUUUCUUUUUUCAGUAAAUUAGACUGCGAGACUUGCAAGAUUUUAACCGAAUGAAUCAACUCCAGUACUUAUUUUUAAGGCUGGCACUUAUUUUCUUGGUUUCUUUUACCAAACCACUAAUGUCAUAGAGACGUAAACAAACCAACGCCGGUUGUCAAGCAGCUAUGUGGAUAUAUAUAUAUAUAUAUAUAUAUAUAUAUAUAUAUAUAUAUAUAUAUAUAUAUAUAUAUAUAUAUAUAUAUAUAUAUAUAUUGUGUGUGUUAUUUGAAAGUUUUUUUUGCAUUUUGCAUUAAUGCAGGCAUGUAAUUUAUUUAUUAUUAAACAUAAUAAUAUAUAUUAUUGACAUGUUUUUAAGUUACGGAACAAUUGGUCGUGAUAUUGAAUCUUCUUUUUGCUAAAUAAACUUUCAUCAAACCAUUUCUCUGUCAUUUAUGACUUUACAUAUAUAUAUAUAUAUAUAUAUAUAUAUAUAUAUAUACAUGCACCCCCCCCAUAUAUAUAUAUAUAUAUAUAUAUAUAUAUAUAUAUAUAUAUGCAUAUAUGUAUAUGUAUAAUCAUGUGUGCAUGUAUAUAUAUGAAAAUGAGAUGAUGAAGGAAUAAAUCUUAUGAACUUCAUUAGCUUACAGCUGUUACUGCUAUGAAAUGCAGUGGACUCAUAGCUGAGUGCCUGAGUAACAUCUUAUAGCUACACUCAACUUCGUAUACGAAGUGCAAUUUAUUUGGGAAAAGAAUUACAUUUAUCCAUAUAUAUGGGGAAAAGCAUUACCAAUGAGAAAGCCUAUGCAGAUGUAUAUACAAAAGUGCAUAUCCAAACAGCAAUUAGAACUAAUAGUUGAAACUAUGUAUAUAUACAUGUACUCACGUACAGAAAUAUAUGCACGCGCGCGCGUGAAUAUAUAUAUAUAUGUGUGUGUGUGCGUGUGUGUGCGUGUGUGUGUGUUUGUGUCUGUGCGUGUGUGUGUCUGCGUGUGUGUGGUGUGUAUGUGUGUGUAAAUAUUGAUAUUUAGCAGAUGUAGCAAAAUGAGUCAAGGUCAGAGAGUUUCUUGCAGUGACACUUAUCAACACACGAAACUCUCGGACCUUGAAUCACUCUGUUACAUCUGCUAAAUAUUAAUAAAAAUAUAAAUAUACUCAUAUUUUGAGUUCUAUUUUUCCUGUUUGCACCACCAUUGAAUAAACUGGUCUCCUUUACUACAAGCUGUGACCUUGUAUUAAUAUGUUAUUAAUUGGGCAGAUCUUGUUUGCUUUUGUGCGCUAUUGGUAAUAUACAGUCAUAGAGCAGCGGUAGGUGUCGAUGUAAUUUACCGCUUUAACACUUAUAUUUUCAAAAUAAUGACUAAUUUCGUAAAAUAACUUGUUAUUAUUAUUAAGCCGGUGUCAUGAAUAUAAACUAGCAUGAAAGUUUAAUGGAAGAUUUAAAAACAAAAAGUUUAUAUCAGAAUUACAGGCGGUCUCGCACAGUUUAAUGUCAGAAUGGUUAAAAAGCAGCAACACUAUGGAAUCGACAAAUAUCAGUAAAUAUGGUACACAUACAAUAAUUAUAGCUUAAUUGUGAUUAUAAUUCAACGAUAGUUAUAAUCUAGCAAUAAUUAUAAUAUCUAGGGUGGCGUGCUAGCAGAAUCGUUACUGCGUUGGCAAAAAUGAUUAGUGGUAUUUCUUCCGACUUUACGUUCCGAGUUUAAAUGCCGCCGGGGUGGACUUAGCCUUUCAUCCUUUCGAGGGUCAGAAAAAUAAGUACCAGUUAAGCACUGGGGUCAAUAUAAUCGACUUGCUCACUCCUCUGAAAUUGUUGGCCUUGUGCUAAAAUUUGAAAUCGCUAUUUAUAAUUUCUUAGUGCUUUUACGAAAUGAUGAAAUGAAUGCUAAUUUUCAAAAGAAAAAUAUUUAUUACUUUUCAAUAAAAUUAAAUAAACGAAAUUCUUACUUACUCUUUACUCUUUUACUCUUUUACUUGUUUCAGUCAUUUGACUGCGGCCAUGCUGGAGCACUGCCUUUAGUCGAGCAAAUCGACCCCAGGACUUAUUCUUUGUCAGCCCAGUAUUUAUUCUAUCGGUCUCUUUUGCCGAACCGCUAAGUUACGGCGACGUAAACACACCAGCAUCGGUUGUCAAGCAAUGCUAGAGAGACAAACACAGACACACAAACAUAUACAUACAUACAUAUAUAUACAUAAAUACGACGGGCUUCUUUCAGUUUCCGUCUACCAAAUCCACUCACAAGGCAUUGGUCGGCCCGAGGCUAUAGCAGAAGACACUUGCCCAAGAUGCCACGCAGUGGGACUGAACCCGGAACCAUGUGGUUGGUAGGCAAGCUACUUACCACACAGCCACUCCUGCGCCUUGUAUAACUCCUCACAUAAUUACUCUGUCAUUUCUUUCCUCGUCGUCGUCGCCGUCAUCCUCGUCCUCCUCCUCCCCCUCCUCCUGUUCCUCCUCCUUUGCCUCAAGGAUUCUUUUCACAGUGUGCAUGCGUAGCGGUCUUUUACUCAUUGCCUGUCACCAAACCCAGUGCGUGCUCUCAAUUUGCACCUCUUAUGCUAACUCACUGUAUCUCUCUUUUAUACUCCCCCUUCUCUCUAUUUGAUGUAAAGCACAACUGGAGUAAUCAAUCAAUCAACAAAACCAUCCGAACACAACCAACCAACACAACCAACCAAACAACUAACCAAACCAUACACCCACCCAGCCAAACACCCACUCACUCAACCAACCAUGUAUGUAUGUAUGUAUGUAUGUAUGUAUGUAUGUAUGUAUGUACAUAUAUAUGUAUGUAUACACACAGAUAGUUAUACACACGCAUAUCUUUAACAGCGAAUGAGUUAAAAUAUAAACCAGUUUUAAAUUGCACUAAAAUAGCCAUCUCUCCACUUUUAAAACAUUUGCUUACAAUAGCUACAUUGAACAGACAAGUACCUCAACUUCACAUCGUCUAACUAUGCAUCUACAAGUAGAAGUCCUUGGUGUAUAUUCUAUAGUACAACAGAAAAGAAAACCAAUUAGAAAAGCACUCGGUAAAUAAUUUGUAUAGGAUUCACCAAAUGCUAGAUGAUUUAUACAUGGACAACAUAUGUGAAUAGUAAAAUAUAGCGCGCGCACAGACACACACAGAGUUUCACUUGAUUCUUGAGCUCUCUCAUAUGGCGAGUAGCUACGACCACCUGAUCGAAAUAUGUCUAUCUGCCUGUCUAUCUAUCUAUCUAUCUAUCUAUCUAUCUAUCUAUCUAUCUAUCUAUCUAUCUAUCUAUCUAUCUAUCCCACCCACCCACAAAAAACCCACCCAUCCAUCCAUCCAUACACUCAAACCCAUCUAUCUAUCUAUCUAUCUAUCUAUCUAUCUAUCUAUCUAUCUAUCUAUCUAUCUAUCUAUCUAUCUAUCUAUCUAUCUAUCUAUCUAUCUUUCUGGAGACGUCUUGGCAGCGGUGUACUGCAACUGGCAGCAAAACGGGAGCAUUCCUGGUUUUGUGAGCCGAGGAGCCGUAACACUGCUGAAGAAAGAUCUAAACAAGUGGAAUGUAAUAGAUAACUUUAGGCCCAUCAUUCUGCUUAAUGCAGACUUGAAAAUUUUGGCCAAGGUGUUAGGUAAGAGGUUGGCGCUUGUCAUCGAGAAACUGGUCAUGCGCCGUGCCGGACCGGACCAUCCAUGGCAACCUCCACCUGAUGCCCUACAUCAUAGACAGGGUAGUUAACGAACCUGGCAUGGGUGCGGCGCUGAUCAAUUUGGAUCAAUCGAAAGCUUUCGGUAGGGUAGACCAUCGAUACUUGGAGGCUGUCCUCAGAGCGGCUGGCUUCGAUCCCGUUUUCCGCGGCUGGAUAGCCGCUUUGUACAGAGGCAUCCGUUCGGUAAUUUGCGUAAAUGGACAUCUAUCGACAUUACACGUUCGGUCCGUCAGGGAUGCCCAUCGUCGCUUCUCUACGUAUUGACUCUCGAGCCAUUAUUGCGGAAGCUGGCAACUCUGAGGGGCAUCCCGCGAGAACUGGGAUGCGGGAUGAGCGUGUCUGCAUACGCGGACGACGUCACCGUCAUAGUGUCUAGCCACGAGCACAUCGAGCAGGUCAGCGAGACACUGAAAAAUUACGAAGCGGUGACAGGAGCGAAAAUCAACUGGGAAAAGUCAGUGGGCUUGCGACUCGACACCUGGAGAAGCAAGCCCAUGCCGUCCACCAGCGCCUCCGUUGUGGGACGCUGGACCGACGGUCCGGUCGAGUUGCUCGGGGUCUGGUUCGGUCCGGACCGCCAAAUGGAGAAGAACUGGAACGAGAUAACGAGUAAGGUGGUCACUCUCGCCCGGCAAUGGGCCGAGAUGAAACUGUCCCUAAAAGGUCGGGCGGGGGUGGCAAACACGUACAUCGCGUCCGUCAUCUACUACCGCCUGACCGUCGUGCCUUGUCCCGACCCUACCAUCACCAAACUAGAACGCAUUCUUUUUCGCUUCUUGUGGAAAGGAUGCGUCCCGAUGGUCAGGCGAUCCAUUUGCUGUCAACACCCGUUAAAAGGACUGGGCAUGCCGUGGUUGAUGAUGCGCAGAUACGCGCUGAGACUGCGACGUCUCAGGCUGUGAACAGGUGUGGUCGCCGUUUGUGAGGUGAACAGGUGUGGUCGCCGUUUGUGAGGCACGCUUUCCCGCAGCUCGUCUCCAUGACCGAACUGCAGUCGUGGAUCAAAAAGAGGCCGAGGAAGGGCGAAUGGCACCGCGAGUGUCGCGUUGCUCUCGACCUUGAGUGACUCCAUCACAACCCAAGCAUUCUAUAGGGGAUUAGUGGAGGGGAGGUACGACGACGAGCUCGGGGCGAACCUGGACGUCGACGUGGAAUACCUGACCCGCCUGUUCGGGACGACUUUCGGGCCAGGGCCCAUGGACAACUUCCAGAGAUCCCAGGCCUGGCAGUGCUACCGAGAAGCGCUACCCGUUCCGGAUAAGCUCUACAGACACGGCUCGAGAAACACGGGGCCGACCUGCCCGAGAUGUGGUCAGAGCGACGAAACCGCUCUGCACGCACUCGUGCAGUGUCCAACAAUUUCCGACCUGUGGGCUUAUGUCGAACAACUGCUGUCACGUGUGGGACGAGUCGGUUUAUCAGCUGAGUCUAUCGUCAAUAUUGUCACGCCUCCUUCCUUCAAACGGGAAGGAAGAGUUAUUUUCAUCAUCCUUGUGGCUAUGGCGAAAGAAUGUAUCUGGUGGACGCGUCUGAAAGGAUUGGAGACAAACACUUUCCUCUCUGGUCAAUCUCUCAUCAACUUCUUCAAGUACCACUUGAAAAGGAAAGUGAGAGUAGAGAGGCAAGUUUUGUCUAGCGAAUGUUUUAAAAAAAGAUGGGUGAAUGUAGCAAGGAUGGCACGUAUGAAUGACGAAGCCACCUUGAGCAUAAUCGUAUGAACCCAGAAAUUGAAAACAGAGGGUUACCCACUUGCAAACAAAUGUGGUAACAUAUAACAAUAUUGACCGAGGUUACCGUGGUCUUUUUCGUAGGCUUUUCUUCCCACGGAUAAACCUUAUCUGCUUCCCCCUUUACACCGUACAUCAUGACACUGUGAUACACGAUCCCUAUUUUCCUCUUCCCCUUUUUUCCUCUUUUUUCUUCUUUUUUCUUUUUUCUUUUCUUUUGUUUCUUUUUCUUUUUCCUUUUUUUCUUUUUUCCCUUUUACGAUCCCUUUUGAUCGAAAACCUACGCCACCUUUUUUUUAUCCCCCAAAAGAAAAGCUCUACCUUGUAAUUUGUCCCAUCUGUGUGCAGCCCUGUGUGGCCAAUAAAGAAACUUAUCUAUCUAUCUAUCUAUCUAUCUAUCUAUCUAUCUAUCUAUCUAUCUAUCUAUCUAUCUAUCUAUCUAUCUAUCUAUCUAUCUAUCUACCUAUGACAGCAAAUAAGUAUAUAAAAAAAACGGUAAAAUCAGGUAAAAACAUUUAAGAAAUUGUAGAACUAACUUCCUCGGUCACGAGAGACUAUCAUUAUGUAUGUAUGUAUGUAUGUAUGUAUGUAUGUAUGUAUGUAUGUAUGUAUGUAUGUAUGUAUGUAUGUAUGUGUAUAUGUAUGUAUUAUGUAUGUAUGCAUUAUGUGUAUAUGUAUGUUCGUGUAUGUAUGUAUAUAUUAUAUAUGCAUUAUGUAUGUUUGUAUGUAUGUAUGUAUGUAAGUAUGUAUGUAUGUACGUGUGUAUGUGUAUGUAUGAGUGUGUGUAUGUAUGUAUGUAUGUGUGUGUGUCUGUAUGUAUGUAUAUGUAUGUGUAUAUGUGUGUGUGUAUGUAUGUAUUAAGCAUGUUCUCUUAUUCCUUUACAUGUUUCAGUCAUUUGACUGCGGUCAUACUGGAGCACCGCUUUGAAGGAUUUAUUUUUUAAGCUUAACACUUACUCUAUCAAUCCUUUUUGCUGAACCGCUAAGUUAUGGGGACGUAAACACACCAAUACCGAUUGUCAAGCAGUUGUGAUGGAGGGGUGGGGGUCAAACAGACACAAAGACACACACACAUAGAUAUACCAUUCAACUACCGUAGUAGUUAAAUAAUAUUCUUAAGGCCGCAAUUUACUCACAUGCAGCAUCUUUCAGAGCUUGUCGCUAAUUCAGUUCUUAACCAAAUGGAAAACCAUUAACAUUUUUGAAGAGCGCGUGUCCCUAGCUACAUUUUGCUUUUAGUCCAGUAGAGAAAAGUUUGCAUCAAAAUUUGUAGCGAGGUUAUAGGAGAGUAAGUAACGCCACCAAUCAAGUUUAGAUCUAAAUACCUUUUAUUUUUCAUUUUAAAAGCAAAAUAUAUUUAUCUUAGUUUCAAUGCUAGGAGAAAGCGUGAAGUAUUUCAUAGUUUUGAUCCCAUGCAACAAAAAAUUUGUAUCCCAAAAGUUGUGAGGUAAGAUAUCAUGAAAAAAUUAUAAAACAAAAAAUUGGAUCUAAGUAAAAUUAACUGUUUUUAUUUUAAAAACAAACUAUAUUUUGAUUAAGCUUAAAUGAUUUUAAUUUAAUUUGAGUUCAAUUCGAGGAAUUUCAUGGUAUGAAUCUCAUACAAUGAAGUUUUAAAAGAAAAAAGUUAUGAGUGUUUGUUUCUUAAAUUUGAGGGUGAUAACAUAGCUCUAUACUUUUUUAUGAAUAUAGUUUUGAUAUAUGUCACCGGCAUUAUAAAGGUAAAGAAAAAAUUAUCGACGACACCGCUAAUUGACACAUUUGACACAUUAUCAAUUAUCACAAUAGCAUAGCCUGUAAAAAAAACAUGGAUUACAUGGAAAAAUGCGAGCAAGAGAAAUAAUUUUCUUUGGAUUAUAAAUCUGGAAAAGUACAGGACAAGAAAACUUUUACUAAAAUAUUGCAGCUAAGGAUAAAAUAUUUUAAUUGAGUUAUCUUUUAUUUUUAAUAGAAAUAAGUUAUAAGAAAUAGAAGUAAUAACUUGUAAUAAAACUUUUAGUUUUAAUAAAAGCUAAUAUUUUCUAAAUCUAAAUAUGUAAUAAUUUGUACUGUAAUAUUUACCGAUGUAAUAAUUUGUCUUGUACUUUUCUAAAUUUAUAAUCUUCAGAAUAUUAUUUCUCUUGCUCGUAUUGUUCCAUGUAAUUCAAUAUAUAUAUAUAUAUAUAUAUAUAUAUAUAUAUAUAUAUAUAUAUAUAUAAUAUAUAUACGACGGGCCUCUUUCAAUUUCCGUCUAUCAAAUCCACUCACAAGAUUUUGGACAGGCCGAGGAUAUAUUACAAAACACUUGACCAAGUUCUCGCGAUCCCACUAAAACCGGAAACAUGUGGCUAGGAAACAGACUCAUUACGACACACCCACGCCUGCACCUAUAUAUAUAUAUAUAUAUAUAUAUAUAACACACGCACACACGCGCUCACACACACACACAAUUACACACUCACACAUACGUAUUACUAAUUUUAGUCUUAUCACUGAUUACACAAGAAAAAAAACCCGACGUUCCCACCAUCGCUUACAAUAACAUUACUACCGCUACCACUUUAUUGUACCAAACUAGUUUGUUUUAGUAUUCCUAUAUAAAGGAGGAAAAAUUUAGGAUGUUAGCUCAUUGCAUCAUGUUCUUCUUUCACUGACGCUUGGUAAGUAAGAUCAUUUUUACUUUUUUGACAUAUUGUUAUCAGUAGGCGCAGGAGUGGCUGUGUGGUAAGUAGCUUGCUAACCCACCACAUGAUUCCGGGUUCAGUCCCACUGCGUGGCACCUUGGGCAAGUGUCUUCUGCUAUAGGCCCGGGCCGACCAAUGCCUUGUGAGUGGAUUUGGUAGACGGAAACUGAAAGAAGCCUGUCGUAUAUAUAUAUAUAUAUAUAUAUAUAUAUAUAUAUAUAUAUAUAUAUAUAUAUAUAUAUAUAUAUGUGUGUGUGUUUGUGUGUUUGUGUUUGUCCCCCUAGCAUUGCUUGACAACCAAUGCUGGUGUGUUUACGUCCCCGUCACUUAGCGGUUCGGCAAAAGAGACCGAUAGAAUAGACUUACAAAGAAUAAGUCUCGGGGUCGAUUUGCUCGACUAAAGGCGGUGCUCCAGCAUGGCCGCAGUCAAAUGACUGAAACAAGU
rnacentral:lncRNA from 1 species